rnacentral:ribozyme from 1 species
AAGAUGCAUCAAUCUAUGCAGAAAAGCAUAAAAAUGUAGGAUAAGAAAAAAAAAGAAAAAGGCCACAUUUGGCUGGUCAAUGUAAUGUUUUUUGACUUUCAUUUUUUUUU